rnacentral:lncRNA from 1 species
UUAGAACAUGAGUUGGAUAAAGGAAUCUUUUGGAAGCAAAGUUGAUAAUUAAGAUGGGAAACUUUUGAAAAUAAUUUAAAAGUUUGAAGACGAAAGGACCAAAUUAAAAAUUUUGAAAAGUUUAGACUAAAGUGAAAUUUGACCAACAUGGGAAAAUAAGCUAUCAAUGAUUAUUUUCCAUGGAAAUAUAUUGGGUUAUA